GGCGUACGGGUGCGGAACACGUGUGCAACCUGCCUUUAUCAGGGGGAUAGCCUUUCGAAAGGAAGAUUAAUACCCCAUAAUAUUUAGAAUGGCAUCAUUUUAAAUUGAAAACUCCGGUGGAUAGAGAUGGGCACGCGCAAGAUUAGAUAGUUGGUGAGGUAACGGCUCACCAAGUCUGCGAUCUUUAGGGGGCCUGAGAGGGUGAUCCCCCACACUGGUACUGAGACACGGACCAGACUCCUACGGGAGGCAGCAGUGAGGAAUAUUGGACAAUGGGUGCGAGCCUGAUCCAGCCAUCCCGCGUGAAGGACGACGGCCCUAUGGGUUGUAAACUUCUUUUGUAUAGGGAUAAACCUACUCUCGUGAGAGUAGCUGAAGGUACUAUACGAAUAAGCACCGGCUAACUCCGUGCCAGCAGCCGCGGUAAUACGGAGGGUGCAAGCGUUAUCCGGAUUUAUUGGGUUUAAAGGGUCCGUAGGCUGAUCUGUAAGUCAGUGGUGAAAUCUCACAGCUUAACUGUGAAACUGCCAUUGAUACUGCAGGUCUUGAGUGUUAUUGAAGUAGCUGGAAUAAGUAGUGUAGCGGUGAAAUGCAUAGAUAUUACUUAGAACACCAAUUGCGAAGGCAGGUUACUAAGCAACAACUGACGCUGAUGGACGAAAGCGUGGGGAGCGAACAGGAUUAGAUACCCUGGUAGUCCACGCCGUAAACGAUGCUAACUCGUUUUUGGGCUUUCGGGUUCAGAGACUAAGCGAAAGUGAUAAGUUAGCCACCUGGGGAGUACGUUCGCAAGAAUGAAACUCAAAGGAAUUGACGGGGGCCCGCACAAGCGGUGGAUUAUGUGGUUUAAUUCGAUGAUACGCGAGGAACCUUACCAAGGCUUAAAUGGGAAAUGACAGGUUUAGAAAUAGACUUUUCUUCGGACAUUUUUCAAGGUGCUGCAUGGUUGUCGUCAGCUCGUGCCGUGAG
rnacentral:rRNA from 1 species